rnacentral:rRNA from 1 species
GUCCAGACUCCUACGGGAGGCAGCAGUGGGGAAUAUUGCACAAUGGGGGAAACCCUGAUGCAGCGACGCCGCGUGAGUGAAGAAGUAUCUCGGUACGUAAAGCUCUAUCAGCAGGGAAGAAAAUGACGGUACCUGACCAAGAAGCCCCGGCUAACUACGUGCCAGCAGCCGCGGUAAUACGUAGGGGGCGAGCGUUAUCCGGAUUCACUGGGUGUAAAGGGAGCGUAGACGGCCAUGCAAGCCAGGGGUGAAAGCCCGGGGCCCAACCCCGGGACUGCCCUUGGAACUGCAUGGCUGGAGUGCGGGAGGGGCAGGCGGAAUUCCUGGUGUAGCGGUGAAAUGCGUAGAUAUUAGGAGGAACACCAGUGGCGAAGGCGGCCUGCUGGACAGUAACUGACGUUGAGGCUCGAAAGCGUGGGGAGCAAACAGGAUUAGAUACCCCUGUAGUC